GACGAACGCUGGCGGCGUGCUUAACACAUGCAAGUCGAACGAAGUGGCGAACGGGUGAGUAACGCGUAAUCAACCUGCCCUUCAGUGGGGGACGACAGUGGGACACGACUGCUAAUACCGCAUACUGAAGGAGGGGAUUGCGGCUGGUUAGGUCGUUGGAGGGGUAACGGCCCACCAAGGCGAGGAUCAGGAGCCGGUCUGAGGGGAUGAACGGCCACAAUGGGACUUAGGCACGGCCCAGAGUCCUACGGGAGGCGGCAGGGGGGAAUCUGCCGCAAUGGACGAAAGUCUGACGGAGCAACGCCGCGUGAGGGAUGACGGCCUUCGGGUUGUAAAGCUCUGUUAAUCGGGACGCGGUACCGGAAUAGAAAGCCACGGCUAACUACGUGCCAGCAGCCGCGGUAAUAC
rnacentral:rRNA from 1 species